AACGAACGCUGGCGGCAUGCCUAACACAUGCAAGUCGAACGAGACCUUCGGGUCUAGUGGCGCACGGGUGCGUAACGCGUGGGAACCUGCCCUUAGGUUCGGAAUAACUCCCCGAAAGGGGUGCUAACACCGGAUAAUGUCUUCGGACCAAAGAUUUAUCGCCUUUGGAUGGGCCCGCGUUGGAUUAGCUAGUUGGUAGGGUAAAAGCCUACCAAGGCGACGAUCCAUAGCUGGUCUGAGAGGAUGAUCAGCCACACUGGGACUGAGACACGGCCCAGACUCCUACGGGAGGCAGCAGUGGGGAAUAUUGGACAAUGGGCGAAAGCCUGAUCCAGCAAGGCCGCGUGAGUGAUGAAGGCCUUAGGGUUGUAAAGCUCUUUUACCCGGGAUGAUAAUGACAGUACCGGGAGAAUAAUCUCCGGCUAACUCCGUG
rnacentral:rRNA from 1 species